AUUGAACGCUGGCGGCAGGCCUAACACAUGCAAGUCGAACGGUAGCACAGAGAGCUUGCUCUCGGGUGACGAGUGGCGGACGGGUGAGUAAUGUCUGGGAAACUGCCCGAUGGAGGGGGAUAACUACUGGAAACGGUAGCUAAUACCGCAUAACGUCGCACGACCAAAGUGGGGGACCUUCGGGCCUCACACCAUCCGAUGUGCCCAGAUGGGAUUAGCUAGUAGGUGGGGUAAUGGCUCACCUAGGCGACGAUCCCUAGCUGGUCUGAGAGGAUGACCAGCCACACUGGAACUGAGACACGGUCCAGACUCCUACGGGAGGCAGCAGUGGGGAAUAUUGCACAAUGGGCGCAAGCCUGAUGCAGCCAUGCCGCGUGUAUGAAGAAGGCCUUCGGGUUGUAAAGUACUUUCAGCGGGGAGGAAGGCGGUGAAGUUAAUAACUUCACCGAUUGACGUUACCCGCAGAAGAAGCACCGGCUAACUCCGUGCCAGCCGCCGCCGUAA
rnacentral:rRNA from 1 species